rnacentral:rRNA from 1 species
UACGAAGGGGGCUAGCGUUGUUCGGAAUCACUGGGCGUAAAGCGCACGUAGGCGGACUGUUAAGUCAGGGGUGAAAUCCUGGGGCUCAACCCCAGAACUGCCCUUGAUACUGGCGGUCUUGGGUGUGGAAGAGGUUGGUGGAACUCCGAGUGUAGAGGUGAAAUUCGUAGAUAUUCGGAAGAACACCAGUGGCGAAGGCGGCCAACUGGUCCACUACUGACGCUGAGGUGCGAAAGCGUGGGGAGCAAACAGG